rnacentral:rRNA from 1 species
AUUGAACGCUGGCGGCAGGCCUAACACAUGCAAGUCGAACGAGUGGCGGACGGGUGAGUAAUUUCUGGGAAACUGCCUGAUGGAGGGGGAUAACUACUGGAAACGGUAGCUAAUACCGCAUACCAUCGGAUGUGCCCAGAUGGGAUUAGCUAGUAGGUGGGGUAACGGCUCACCUAGGCGACGACCCCUAGCUGGUCUGAGAGGAUGACAAGCAACACUGGAACUGAGACACGGGCCAGACUCCUACGGGAGGCAGCAGUGGGGAAUAUUGCACAAUGGGCGAAAGCCUGAUGCAGCAAUGCCGCGGGUAUGAAGAAGGCCUUCGGGUUGUAAAGUACUUUGAGCGGGGAGGCGUUACCCGCAGAGAAAGCACCGGCUAACUCCGUGCCAGCCGCCGCGGUAAUAC